rnacentral:rRNA from 1 species
AUUGAACGCUGGCGGCAGGCUUAACACAUGCAAGUCGAACGGUAACAGGUCUUCGGAUGCUGACGAGUGGCGAACGGGUGAGUAAUGCAUCGGAACGUGCCCAGUUGUGGGGGAUAACUGCUCGAAAGAGCAGCUAAUACCGCAUACGACCUGAGGGUGAAAGCGGGGGAUCGCAAGACCUCGCGCAAUUGGAGCGGCCGAUGUCAGAUUAGGUAGUUGGUGGGGUAAAGGCCUACCAAGCCGACGAUCUGUAGUUGGUCUGAGAGGACGACCAGCCACACUGGGACUGAGACACGGCCCAGACUCCUACGGGAGGCAGCAGUGGGGAAUUUUGGACAAUGGGCGCAAGCCUGAUCCAGCAAUGCCGCGUGCAGGAAGAAGGCCUUCGGGUUGUAAACUGCUUUUGUCAGGGAAGAAAUCUUCUGGGUUAAUACCCCGGGAGGAUGACGGUACCUGAAGAAUAAGCACCGGCUAACUACGUGCCAGCCGCCGCCGUAAGAC